rnacentral:rRNA from 1 species
UACGUAGGUGGCGAGCGUUGUCCGGAUUUACUGGGCGUAAAGAGCGCGCAGGCGGUCGUAUAAGUCGCGUGUGAAAGCCCCCGGCUCAACUGGGGAGGGUCACGCGAUACUGUUCGACUCGAAGGCAGGAGAGGGAAGUGGAAUUCCCGGUGUAGUGGUGAAAUGCGUAGAUAUCGGGAGGAACACCAGUGGCGAAGGCGACUUCCUGGCCUGUUCUUGACGCUGAGGCGCGAAAGCGUGGGGAGCAAACAGG